rnacentral:misc_RNA from 1 species
AAAGUCGUAACAAGGUUUCCGUAGGUGAACCUGCGGAAGGAUCAUUACUGAGUGAGGGCCCUCUGGGUCCAACCUCCCACCCGUGUUUAUUGUACCUUGUUGCUUCGGCGGGCCCGCCUUUAUGGCCGCCGGGGGGCUCACGCCCCCGGGCCCGCGCCCGCCGAAGACACCUCGAACUCUGUCUGAAGAUUGUAGUCUGAGUGAAAAUAUAAAUUAUUUAAAACUUUCAACAACGGAUCUCUUGGUUCCG